UACGUAGGGUGCGAGCGUUAAUCGGAAUUACUGGGCGUAAAGCGUGCGCAGGCGGUCUGUUAAGACCGAUGUGAAAUCCCCGGGCUUAACCUGGGAACUGCAUUGGUGACUGGCAGGCUUUGAGUGUGGCAGAGGGAGGUAGAAUUCCACGUGUAGCAGUGAAAUGCGUAGAGAUGUGGAGGAAUACCGAUGGCGAAGGCAGCCUCCUGGGCCAACACUGACGCUCAUGCACGAAGGCGUGGGGAGCAAACAGG
rnacentral:rRNA from 1 species